UACGUAGGGUGCAAACGUUGUUCGGAAUUAUUGGGCGUAAAGGGUACGUAGGCUGUCCAGUAAGUUAGAGGUGAAAUCCCGGGGCUUAACUCCGGGGCUGCCUUUAAAACUAUUGGACUAGAAUCACUUAUAUGGGUGGUGGGAAUUCCUAGUGUAGGAGUGAAAUCUGUAGAUAUUAGGAGGAACACCAAUGGCGAAGGCAAACCACUGGGUAGUGAUUGACGCUGAGGUACGAAAGCCGGGGG
rnacentral:rRNA from 1 species